ensembl:lncRNA
GUCUUCUACAUUGUGUCACCUCAGAAGGACUAAUGCUAUUGUUAUUAAAAUGAAGGAGCACCAUGAAUUCAAAGAAGAAUUUAAAAGACUAACUUUUAGCACUGCUUCAUCACAACGCUAUUCAAACAGCAGCUGUUGUGUUCCGACUCUGCUGGUUAUUCAUCAGCAAACUGUGAGAGAAUCUGACACAGACACAGCUGCUCUGUGACCUCAAAUCCUUCAUAUGAACCAUUCAGAUACAACAAACUUCAGAAAACAUUUGACUUUUAACAAACAAAUAACAGCUUUAAGUAAGAAUUAGUGGAUUUUAAAUAAUCAUUUCAACAUACUAAGCUUUUUAUCAAGUUCCUCUGAAACAAAACCCAACAAAUGGACCAAUCAGACUCCGCCACAUGGAGGUGGAUACCUAUCAGCAACCCAUAUCUACUGUACUGACCCUCAUUUCACCAAAGGACCUCAAUCUUUCUGGAUACGGUGAGGUCUCCCAUCCUAACCGCAGUAUGUGGCUCACACUGGCAGCCCUUUUGACUCUGUGUGCCACGGGGAGAAGUGCUGAAAAUGUUUCAGAAAGCAGUGCUGAGAAGGAAAAGCUUGUUAUAGCCAGAGGAAAACUUAUGGCUCCUAGCGUAGUGGGAUGAUCCAUAAAGAAGAUGCCAGAGCUCUACAAUUUCCUGAUGGAGCGAUGGGCAUUGUAUCACAACCUGGAGUACGAUUCCGGAGAGGAUAAAAACCCACGCCUGAUCUUCUACAACGAGAAGGACGAGGAAGUGAAGGUUGUUCCUGUGAGGAAGAUGAAGGCAGAUGAUAUCAGCAGCUUGCUGGAUUCUCUGGGUUUCUAUAAGAGGUCACAGAAAGGCGAGGAGGUCCCUGAGGAGUUCAAACAUUUCCCUUUAAAGGCGCCCCGGGACGAACUGUGACCCCCGCUGGUCAGCGCCGGGACUGCAGCCCGCCGCCAAUGACGUCCAGAGUCUCAAAGCUCAGAAACAGAGCCGGACUCUGAACCGACACACAGAUGGCUGGAGGCAGUCUGGCUCCUAAUCACACAGAUUUUACAAUAAACUUCCUACAUCUUUGGCUUGUGUGUCGUUG